AGGAUGAACGCUAGCGGCAGGCUUAACACAUGCAAGUCGAGGGACGGUAGCAAUACUGGACCGGCAAACGGGUGCGGAACACGUACGCAACAUACCCUGAACUGGGGCAUAGCCUUCUGAAAAGGAGAUUAAUACCCCAUAAGAUCGUAGGUAGGCAUCUAUCAGCGAUUAAAGAUUUAUUGGUUCAGGAUUGGCGUGCGUCCUAUUAGCUAGUUGGUAAGGUAACGGCCUACCAAGGCGACGAUAGGUAGCUGGUGUGAGAGCACGACCAGCCACGACGGGCACUGAGACACGGG
rnacentral:rRNA from 1 species